AGGGGCUUAGUUUAGUGGUAAAAUGCUUCUCUCCAAAAGAAGCGACGGGGGUUCGAUUCCCUCAGCCCCUG
rnacentral:tRNA from 1 species